rnacentral:rRNA from 1 species
AUGAAGACCUGUAUGAAUGGCAUAACGAGGGCUUAACUGUCUCUUCUUUCAAGUCAAUGAAAUUGAUCUCCCCGUGCAGAAGCGGGGAUACUCACAUAAGACGAGAAGACCCUGUGGAGCUUUAGACACCAAGGCAGAUUAUUGUCAGCUACCCCAAGCUAAAGGAUUGAACCAAUUAAACCCUGCCCUAAUGUC